rnacentral:rRNA from 1 species
UCUUGGUCAUUUAGAGGAAGUAAAAGUCGUAACAAGGUUUCCGUAGGUGAACCUGCGGAAGGAUCAUUACAGAGUUCAUGCCCUCACGGGUAGACCUCCCACCCUUGUGUAUCUAUACUAUGUUGCUUUGGCAGGUUGCUGCCCCCCUCGGGGGACAGCCCCAGCGCCCUCGGGCCUGGGAGUCGCCUACCGGAGGAAAAACAAACUCUGAAUUGUUAGUGUCGUCUGAGUACUAUAUUUUAAUAGUUAAAACUUUCAACAACGGAUCUCUUGGUUCUGGCAUCGAUGAAGAACGCAGCGAAAUGCGAUAAGUAAUGUGAAUUGCAGAAUUCAGUGAAUCAUCGAAUCUUUGAACGCACAUUGCGCCCCUUGGUAUUCCGAGGGGCAUGCCUGUUCGAGCGUCAUUAUAACCACUCAAGCCUGGCUUGGUAUUGGGGUUCGCGAUCUCGCGGCCCUUAAAAUCAGUGGCGGUGCCAUCUGGCUCUAAGCGUAGUAACUUAUCUCGCUAUUGGGUCCGGUGGUUGCUUGCCAACAACCCCCAACUUCUAAGGUUGACCUCGGAUCAGGUAGGGAUACCCGCUGAACUUAAGCAUAUCAAUAAGCGGAGGAAAUCUAGAUGC